UACAGGUUUAAAAUUGCUAGCUGCAUCU
rnacentral:sRNA from 1 species